UUAAUUUUUGAUCAAAUAAAUGCAUCCUUUCUGAGCAGAAGAGAGUUAAUUAGUCCUUUUUAUUGGUAGUCUCUCUCUCUCACACAGACACACAGCCAUGAUCAUUUUCUUGGUGGUUUGUAUCUGUGUCAUAUUUAACAUGAGCGUCUGGUGCCAAAACGGGUCGCAGGAGUCUUGGUACUAAUGAGACCAGGUGCUACACACCUGACCCCAAACUGUCUCAGCAGUGAACAAUGAGUGUGUGUGUGUGUGUGUGUGAGAGAGAGAGAAAGAGCAGAAAAUGAUAAAGAGGAGCAUGAUUAUUGCUAUGUUAUGAGUAGCAUACUGCUGCCUUAUAAUGUUUCUGAUGUUUCUCAUUUGCCUGAAAUACCUAGGAUGACAUAUUACUACAAUACGACCAGAGCGCACAGUGCGGAGCACCGUUUCCCAGAAUGCAACUCCAUUAAUUCAUCACACUGGAAAUGAAAGGUUAGUUUGAGGAGCUAGCGGUUUCAUCUUAAAGAUGGAUCACAGGGAAAGCGCUGUGCGCAGGGGUUCUAACAUCACCAUGGGAAUCCAGCUUUUACUUGUCUUGGAAAAGGCUGUUGUUAUCAAGUGUCUAAAUGGGACUACAGAGGUUUUCGGGACACUAAACAUCAUCAGCCGAACAGGUAAACUCAUCUACUCGCUAGUUUGCUUUCACAGCUUUGCUAACUUAAAAUUACAAAAUAUUUUCUAAAUAAAGACUGAAAGAGUU